rnacentral:misc_RNA from 1 species
GCAAACUUGGUCAUUUAGAGGAAGUAAAAGUCGUAACAAGGUUUCCGUAGGUGAACCUGCGGAAGGAUCAUUGACGAAGUUCGAGGCGGCGUCGAACUGUGCUGGCCCUCACCGGGCAUGUGCACGUCCGACGCCGUCCGUCUCACACACACACCGUGAACCCACCUCUGCGGGGACGGACCGAGUUCAUAGGGUUUGCCGGCGACCGUCGGCUCUCCCCGGACCGAGGCCCGUCCUUUCGCUUCACACACACCCGUGUAACGUCCCGCAUGUCUGUCGUAAUCGAAUACAACUUUCAACAACGGAUCUCUUGGCUCUCGCAUCGAUGAAGAACGCAGC